GGACCGCCCUAGUAACGGCGAGUGAAGCGCAACAGCUCAAAUUUGAAAUCUGGCUCUUUUAGGGUCCGAGUUGUAAUUUGCAGAGGGCGCUUUGGCUUUGGCAGCGGUCCAAGUUCCUUGGAACAGGACGUCACAGAGGGUGAGAAUCCCGUACGUGGUCGCUAGCUAUCGCCGUGUAAAGCCCCUUCGACGAGUCGAGUUGUUUGGGAAUGCAGCUCUAAAUGGGAGGUAAAUUUCUUCUAAAGCUAAAUAUUGGCCAGAGACCGAUAGCGCACAAGUAGAGUGAUCGAAAGAUGAAAAGCACUUUGGAAAGAGAGUCAAACAGCACGUGAAAUUGUUGAAAGGGAAGCGCUUGCAGCCAGACUUGCUUGCAGUUGCUCAUCCGGGCUUUUGCGGCUGCACUCUUCUGUAGGCAGGCCAGCAUCAGUUUGGGCGGUGGGAUAAAGGUCUCUGUCA
rnacentral:rRNA from 1 species